AAAAUAUAUAAAAAAUUUUAGUGCAAAACAAUUUCAAAUAAAUAAUAAAUAUAAAGGCUUAAACCAAAUAAUGAUAAAAUAGCGUAUAUAAAAAACAUAUUAAGGACGUGGUUGAAACAGAAUAAAAAAAACGGGUCUUAAACUACAAAUAUAUGAAAUAGGUGGUAAAUGGGUUGAAAUAAAAGGCGCCGAGGACCUGGGGGACCGAUUGCGCAAUAUUCCCCGUCCCAUAUGCGCAUAGAUUUGCGCGGGACCAGAUUGGAAAAGACGCGAAAUUAUAUGACUAAAAUUAAAAGAAACAAAAGGGUAAUUUAAAUGCGCUGGAAAAAUUGGAGGGACCAAAGGCGCAAAAUUACCACUAGGGCAAGAAUGCGCUGGUCACCUCCCCUCAACGGCGCCGUUUUACUUAGUGCAUUUAAGCAGAAUUUUCAUUCUUUUCAUUCUGGCCUCUGUUUGUUAUAUUUUUUUUGUUUCAAAACCUUUCUCCUCCACUUUCAACCGUCCGACCCUCGGGUUCGUUUGCCUCCGGCGCGCCGCCAUCACGGCCACAAAGACCGGUGGCCGGUGAUGGAGAAAGAGCUCCUAACCUCGGCCUAGAAACAUCCCAGAAGGCUAAACCCCCAAUCCCGAAGGAGAAAAUAAAGGAACCUCGGCGCCUUUGAGAUCCGGUGGCCGCGAAGAAGGAGAACCCCUCGCGGGCACGAUUUUGGCGCUUCCCCGGUGUCAGACGCGUGGGCGACUGGUGAUAGGCGAGUCUUGGACGGUGACGGCGUGCGGCGCAGAUGGAGCGGCGGCAAUAGCGAGGCAUGCGGCUAGGGUUUUUGUGUUUGGCUGAAAACUAGUUUAGUUUUGGGCCAUUUGGGCUUUAGGUUUUUUUUUAUUUGGGCUAUAAUUGUUUGGGUUCAUUUUUUGUAAAUGGACUGUCAAGCCCGGGCAGAUUUUGGGCUUUACAGCUGCCCCUCUUUGCUCAUUGUCGUGCAAUAGGAAUGAAGCAAAGACUUUUAAGAAAGGUCAAAAUCGCCCGGUCUCGUCGAGUCUUGACUUCUUGGUGCUUUUCUUCUUCAAGUAGCCUCUUUCCAGUCCA